rnacentral:rRNA from 1 species
UACAGAGGGGGCGAGCGUUGUUCGGAAUUACUGGGCGUAAAGGGCGCGUAGGCGGCCUCUUAAGUCGAACGUGAAAUCCCCGGGCUCAACCCGGGAACUGCGUCCGAUACUGGGGGGCUUGAAUCCGGGAGAGGGAUGUGGAAUUCCAGGUGUAGCGGUGAAAUGCGUAGAUAUCUGGAGGAACACCGGUGGCGAAGGCGGCAUCCUGGACCGGUAUUGACGCUGAGGCGCGAAAGCCAGGG